rnacentral:rRNA from 1 species
GACGAACGCUGGCGGCGUGCUUAACACAUGCAAGUCGAACGGAAAGGCCCUGCUUUUGUGGGGUUCUCGUGUGGCGAACGCGUGAGUAACCCGUGUGUUACCUUCCCUUUACUUUUGGAUAACUUCAGGAAACUGGGGCUUAUACCCGAUUGGUGCUCCUGCUGCAUGGUGGGGGUUGGUAAGUUUCGGUGGUUGGGGAUUGACUGGCUGCUUAUCUGCUUGUUGGUGGGGUAGUGGCUUACCAAGGCUUUGACGGGUAGCCGGACUGAGAGGGUGACCGGCCAAAAUGGGACUGAGAGACGGCAGAGACUGGUACGGGAGGGAGCAGGGGGGAAGAUUGCAGAAGGGGCGGAAGGCUGAUGAAGAAAAGCCGCGAGCGGGAAGACGGCCUUCGGGUUGAAAAAAGAAUUAGCAUGUGACGAAGCGAGAGUGACAGUAAUGGGUAAAGAAGCACCGGCUAACUACGUG